AACGCACCUUGCGCUCCCUGGUAUUCCGGGGAGCAUGUCUGUUUGAGUGUCAUGAACUCUUCAACCCACCGGUUUCUUUGUAGACUGGCUGGUGUUUGGUUUCUGAGCGUUGCUCGUCCUCUGUGACCGAGCUCGUUCGUAAUAUAUGAGCAUCUCUAAUUCGACUUCGGAUUGACUCAGUGUAAUAGACUAUUCGCUGAGGACACGCUUCUAAAGUGUGGCCGAAUGAGAUAAUUGUAGAAGCUUCCAACCCUUCUAGUCAUUUUAAGAUUAGACCUCAGAUCAGAUAGGACUACCCGCUGAACUUAA
rnacentral:misc_RNA from 1 species